rnacentral:rRNA from 1 species
AGGGAAUCUUCCACAAUGGACGAAAGUCUGAUGGAGCAAUGCCGCGUGAGCGAAGAAGGUUUUCGGAUCGUAAAGCUCUGUUGUAAGGGAAGAACACGUACGGGAGUAACUGCCCGUAUCUUGACGGUACCUUAUUAGAAAGCCACGGCUAACUACGUGCCAGCAGCCGCGGUAAUACGUAGGUGGCAAGCGUUGUCCGGAAUUAUUGGGCGUAAAGCGCGCGCAGGCGGUUCUUUAAGUCUGAUGUGAAAGCCCACGGCUCAACCGUGGAGGGUCAUUGGAAACUGGAGAACUUGAGUACAGAAGAGGAAAGCGGAAUUCCACGUGUAGCGGUGAAAUGCGUAGAGAUGUGGAGGAACACCAGUGGCGAAGGCGGCUUUCUGGUCUGUAACUGACGCUGAGGCGCGAAAGCGUGGGGAGCAAAC